CUUGCUUUCUUUGCCGGCGACCGGCGCACGGGUGAGUAACACGUAUCCAACCUGCCCUUUACUCGGGGAUAGCCUUUCGAAAGAAAGAUUAAUACCCGAUGGCAUAAUGAUUCCGCAUGGUUUCAUUAUUAAAGGAUUCCGGUAAAGGAUGGGGAUGCGUUCCAUUAGGUUGUUGGUGAGGUAACGGCCCACCAAGCCUUCGAUGGAUAGGGGUUCUGAGAGGAAGGUCCCCCACAUUGGAACUGAGACACGGUCCAAACUCCUACGGGAGGCAGCAUG
rnacentral:rRNA from 1 species